CAAGUUUUCCUUGGCUUCAUAUGGAUGAAAGCUCUCACGAAUCACUUAAUAAAAUGUGUUUAGAAAUUCUUAGUAUACUUGAUGAUUCAUCAAAUACCUCCUUGAAAGUGGCAGCAGUUUCAGCGUUGGAAGUUCUUGCAGAAAGGUUCCCUUCGAAUAGUUCCAUCUUCGGUGUAUGCCUUGGGUCUAUUACAAGAUGCAUUAUAUCUCAUAACAUGGCUGUGACUUCUAGCUGCCUUCGAACAUCUGCUGCACUGAUCAACGUUCUUGGUCCAAAAGCACUGACUGAACUUCCUCAAAUUAUGGACAACGUGAUGAAAUCCUCUCGUAUUGUAAUAUCUAAUCAGGAUUUGAAACCAAAAGCUAACGAGGUUUUAUCAGCCUCAAAUGAACCCCAUUUUAUUUCCGUGCUCAUUACUUUGGAGGCGGUUGUUGACAAGCUUGGUGGAUUCCUAAAUCCAUAUCUCACAAAUAUCAUGGAGCUUCUGGUGCUUCAUCCCGAAUAUGUCUCAGGAGUCGAUUCCAAAGUGGAAACCCGAGCUCAUGGAUUACGAAAGCUUCUUGCGGAAAAAAUUCCAGUAAGGCUUGCUAAACAUAAGCAUUGUUUGACUAUGGUAGUGCCAGAUGAGUACAUGUUUUUCUAACUAAACAUCAUUUUGUUACAGGUACGACUUGCCUUGCCGCCACUGUUAAAACUGUACCCUGCUGCUGUUGAGGCUGGGGAUAAAAGCUUAACAAUUGUGUUUGAUAUGUUGGCAACAUUUAUUGGUAUUAUGGACAGAUCAUCAAUUGUGGCAUUCCAUGGAAAGAUUUUUGACUUUUGCUUGGUUGCUCUUGAUCUUCGCCGUCAAAGUCCUCUUUCAGUUCAAAACGUUGAUUUAGUGGAAAAAGGUGUGCUGAAUUCUAUGCUUGCGCUGACCCUAAAACUAACUGAGAGCAUGUUCAAGCCUCUUUUCGUAAAGAGUAUUGAGUGGGCAGAAUCUGUAGUGGAUGAAACUGCAUCCGGAGGAAGCAUGGAUAGGGCCAUAUCUUUCUUUGGCAUGGUAAAUAAGCUUGCUGAGAACCAUAGGUAAGUCAUUGCCUAAUGUUUUUACUUUUUAUAUUCCUUCAUAGAUAAUCCUCUUAAAAAUAAACAUGUUUUUUGGGAGAAGAGUUAAUAAAGUAGCGUAUUGAGUUGAACUUCAUAAUUAUAUCAAUUUUGGUCAAGAUGCAAUAUGAAAUAGAUGCAAUUUGUUUAUAAUAUUAUAUUUAAAAUUUUGACUUAUGGGUAUAUAAUAAAUUAUGAUUGUUUUUUCUUAUAUAAUUAACAAUUGACAUCCUUUUCAUAUUUCUAGGUCUUUGUUUGUUCCUUACUUCAAAUACUUGAUCGGUAGCUGUGUUCAUCAUCUUGGUGAUGGUGAAGACUUUAAUGUGUCUAGUCUGAGGAAGAAAAAGAAGGCUAAGAUUUUGGAUGACGGCGAUGUAAAAGAAACAGGUAGCUUGUCUAUUAAGGGAUGGCAUCUCAGGACACUAGUCUUGUCAUCCUUACACAAGUGUUUUCUCUAUGACACUGGGAGCUUGAAGUUUCUCGAGUCCUCAAAUUUCCAGGCUAGUAUUUUUUUAAACUUUUCACAAUAUGAAAUUGUUAUGAAAAAGUUUAUGAUGUUUUUUUUUCCAUCUUAUUGUUUGAAUGGCACAUUCUGUAAUAAGUUUGGGAAAUUUUCCAUUGAGCCUCCUUCACUGACUUUCAUAUGAUGCUUGUUGCAGUUGUUGUUGAAACCUAUUGUUUCUCAACUUGUCAUAGAUCCACCUGCUUUGCCAGAUGACAACAUGAAUGUACCUAGCGUGAAGGAAUUUGAUGACCUACUUGUUGUGUGCAUCGGUCAAAUGGCGGUCACAGCUGGCUCUGACCUUUUGUGGAAGCCUCUGAACCACGAGGUAUAUUUUGUGAUUUUCUAUUUCUCUCAUGCAAUUUUAUAGACCACCUAUUCUGCUAUUUUGAGUAAAACUAAAGUAACCGUGUCAAAUUUUCCUCAUCUUGCAGCUGACUAUUUUGUUGUCGUAAUUUGGUUGUUUUGUAGGUUUUGAUGCAGACACGCAGUGAGAAGAUGCGAACUAGAAUAUUGGGCCUGAGAAUUGUUAAAUAUUUUGUAGAUAACUUGAAAGAAGAAUAUUUAGUGUUAUUAGCGGAAACAAUCCCCUUCCUCGGCGAACUGCUUGAAGAUGUGGAGCUUUCAGUUAAAUCCCUUGCUCAGGAAAUUUUGACGGAAAUGGAGUCUAUGAGUGGGGAGAGCCUUCGACAAUACCUAUGAUGAAGUUAAGAUUAGGAGGGUAAUAUUUUCACGGUAUCUUGAUAUGUUUGAGCUAGAAAUGUGUAAUCAGUCAAAUAUAGGAAAUUUGUUUUGUAGACAUGUAAAUUAUGGCCAUUUAAAGAAAAGCUGGCAUUUUUCAUAUUGAUAAAAGUUAAAAUUCAAUUAUUUUAUUGUGUAUUUUCAAGCUGUAUUUUUUCUUUCACAAGUGCCAAUCAUUAAAAAGAUGAAUCCUUUAUUAUCAAAAAAAGAUGAAUCCUUUUAAAAAGUAUUAUUCAAAACAAUAAAUAAGAUGAAAUGUUAAAUAAAACAAAAAGAAUCCCAUAUUCCUUACUUUUUACCACUAAAUGUGGAAUAAUAAGAUGAUAUGAAUCCUAUCAUUUCCGUAUUAACUCGUUCUCAUUCCUAGCUCUCUAUUUUUCUCUUAAUUCUACUUUCUCUCUUCAUUGAAAAUUUAAAAGAUAACCAAGAGAUAGAGUGAGAUUAAGAGAGAUAGAAAGUUAAGAGAGGGAAGGAGAAAAAAGAGAAGGAUAUGAUCCACUGUAUAAACAUGGUCUUAUAUCUUUUAGCCGUUUUUUUAUAAAUAUUUUCCGUAUACCUCGGGCUGUGCACGCAAUCUGAUCAACUUGCAAUGACAGGUAAUUAGGUACCAUAUUUUAAAAAAAUGUGUUUCAAAAAAAUCUCAUUUUGGCUUAUUCAAAAAAAUCUUCCACCCCUCGCCCCCUUUCUCUCUCCCUCUCGAUCUCUUUUACACCCCUCUACAACUUAAUUAAUUAAGCACUUAUAGCAUGAACUCUUAUUAUAUAAGUGCUUAUGUAUAAGUUAUUUCUAUAACAAAAGAUUUAAUAAAGUUAAACUGUUUUUAUAUAAGCUAUAAGUUGUUUUCAUAAGCAAUUAUGGAGAGCUUAUAGAUUUAAGCUGAAAACAGUUCAUGGAGAUGUUAUAAGUUGUUUCUAUAAGCUCUCUCACAGGUGUUUAUACAUACAGGACGGAAUGUCUUUCAUGUGAUGUCAAAAUUGAUCCUAUCCAUUUUUUGUUGAGAUUUUUGCUUUUAUAUUUGCAGUGGAUAUGGAAUAUCUGCGCAUGCAUUAACUGCGGCAAUAAGAGCGCACGAUGGUCACGGUCCAAGUACACUGCUGACAAGUAGUAUUUUACAAGCACUUGGGCGAAGUAAAUAACUAGAAUUUUGAAAUCCUACAAUUUAAUGCCGUUUUGAGCAAGGAUAUAGUGUCUCAGUCAUUUGUUUUGAGCAAGGAUAUAGUGUCUCAGUCAUUUGUUUUGAGCAAGGAUAUAGUGUCUCAGUCAUUUGUUGGUGCAUCUUGGGCUCGCAUUGCAGCUCUCGUUCCAGUUGUAGUAUCCUGUGCAGAGGCCGGGGAUGAGGUUGCAUACAAGAUCUUGCUAGAAUCGGCGCAAGAACUGGCUUCAAGUGUUAAAGCUGUUGUAGGCAGACUUGGAUUGUGCGGUCAAGGUUAUAUAUACGUUUUUUAAUCGAAUAUAUUUUAACACAUACAUCACUAAGUCUUUGUGCCUGUAUGAUCAAAUUCGAAGUGAUUGACUUGCCCUCUAGACACUCUUUUAAAAUAUAAAACAAAACAAUGGUUUUUCUUUUUUUUUUGUGAAUAUUUAUGCAACCUAAAAGAUGGUGUUUCAUGUAUAUCUAAGACUGGUAUUCUGUAAUUUUGGCAGAUGGAAAGGAUGCUUUUCCGCUUGUCCUGGUUAGUGGUGUUCUUGAAGCAAAUACAAGGUGGGAUGUAGGGAAAGAAGCAAUAAAAUGCAUUUCCAAAUAUUUUCCUGGGAUGCUUCCCAUUAGAUUAGACCUAAGGUCAGCAUAUAUUUUCAUCUAUUUUAUCUGUCAGCCUUUUAUCUUCAUUGCAUGCUUUUUUAGGAUCCUGCUAACGAGUGUCGAAUGAUCUAAUCAGUAAUAUAAUAAUUCUUUCUGCAAAGCAUGAGCAAUCUUUUCAAAGAAACGCUUUAUGGCUUUAAAUAUCAAGAGUAAACCAUCAAAAUAAUCUAUGACUUUGCAGGACGCGGUAAAUUAGUCCCUAUUGAUCAAUUUGUCACACCUCUGCAAAGUUGUGGACCAUUUUAGUAAUUUACUCUAUCUAGAAUCUUAGCAUAGAAUCAAAAUCAAAUUUUUACUUUGGUUUAUUGCAAACAAGUGGAACCUGCUGUCAGGGCAGCAUGGUUAGCUUGGAAUUUUUUCAUGAAAGAAUAUAACAAGGAAUUAUGCAGCCGCUGACGAUUGAUGGAUUGGUGUAAGAGAGAACAAAAUUGAAAAAAAGAAAGAAAAAGGAAGUGACAUGACAACUCAAAAUCUUUCCUGUAAACUUAAAUUGACAUGCCAUAUAGUUUUUAUGUACAUCCAAAAUUUUAUUUUUUAUUAGCAAAGGGCACAUUGGUAGGAUUUAGUUCUUCCCUGUCCUUGCUAAGUGAGGCACAGUUUCUCCAAUUAUCUUUUGAUCAUACCUUAAAACCUUUGUGUAAAUUACUAGAGGUGUAAUCAUAAGAAAGAGUUGUCUUUAUAGGAAUUUAUAUUUACAUAGUAUAUCUUAUGAUUCCAUUAGGGUCAAGUGUGGCUUUAUCUGAAUUUUGUUAUUUUUAUAUAUCUGCUGUCUAAGAUUCACCUACUUGGUAAUAUCACAUUAUUGCAAAGUCUUGUACAAAGUAAGGACGUACUGUUGCAAUAUAAGGGAUACCAGAGGAAUUUUAAAAAUUGGUUUAGCAAUAUUUAAUCACAAUUACAUAUAAUCAUAAUUACAUAUAAUCACAAAUAUAGUUGAUUGCAAAUUGUUAACGGUGUAAAACAUUUUACACUAACAGCGUAUUGAAAUUAAACUUCCCCUACUUUCUCUAAUAAUACUCAUUCAUAAUCUUAUUUUCUCAUGAUCACACUUCAACUGUAAUAUUCACAUAUUUGCAACACUGAUCUUAUUUUCUUUUAAAAAUGUUUCAUCUUCACCAAAUUUUCCUACACCUAUUAAUCAUGGAUCCGUUUAGUAUGGACAAAAACAUGUUUUGGUCCAUAAUGGAGGAUAUUGGUUUGGGGUUAUUCACUUAGGGGGGUGUAUUGGAUUAGGAUUUUGAUGGACAAUUUUAACAAAAAAAAUCUUGAAGAUUUUAAAAGAUUUUAUAGGAUUGUAUAGACUUUUAAGACUUUUUAAAAUACUUUUUUACAANNNNNNNNNNNNNNNNNNUUUAAUGGAUUUUAUAAUACAGAUUUUUAAGAUUUCAACUGACUUUAUGAAUUUUUAAUAUUGAAAAAAACUUUCCAUUCUUGGUGAAAAAGAAAAAGAAGUGAAUGAAAAAAAAAAAAUUAGGGGGUGUAUUGGAUUUGGAUUUUGAUGGACAAUUUUAACAAAAAAAAUCUUGAAGAUUUUAAAAGAUUUUAUAGGAUUGUAUAGACUUUUAAGACUUUUUAAAAUACUUUUUUACAAUCAGGAUUUUCCAAUUUGGAUUUUAAAAGACUUUAAUAGAUUUUAUAAUACAGAUUUUUAAGAUUUCAACUGACUUUAUGAAUUUUUAAUAUUGAAAAAAACUUUCCAUUCUUGGUGAAAAAGAAAAAGAAGUGAAUGAAAAAAAAAAAAUUAAGGUUGCCACACCAAUGACUAAACCAGUUCAAUGAUAAUUAACGUGAAAAAAAAACAAGUACAUCCCUUCCUUUGAUUUGGAGAUACAGGGAAAAAAAAAUUAUGAAUGGAUCAUAGAUUCAUAAUAUAUAAGAAAGAAAGAAAGAAAGAAAAACAACAAUNNNNNNNNNNNNNNNNNNNNNNNNNNNNNNNNNNNNNNNNNNNNNNNNNCAAAAUCCAUUGCAAAGAAGAAUCCAUCAAAAUCCAUAGACUUUUGAAUACCAAUAGACAUUUUAAAAGUGGUAAGAAAUCUCAAUUGAAUACCAACAGAUUUUGUUGCCUUGAAAAAAAAAAUCUUAAUUAUCUUAAUUGAAUACCACAAGAUUUAUUUAACUUUUCUAAAAGUCUUGAUUGAAUACCACAAGAUUUUUUUAUCAUAAAAAAGUCUUUUAAAAUCCUAUGAAAUCCUAAUCCAAUACACCCCCUUAGACAUAUAUUGUAUAUUCAUUUAAUGAUUUGUAAUAACGAUGUACUCAUUACGCACAUAUUUUACACAGGCUAUUGAUUCUACUACAUCUAGCAAAAGCUCUUUUUUUGUUGGUUUGUAAUAAAUACAUGUCUUGGUAAACAAACUAAGCGUGUGGAAGCGAGACAUUGAUAACUGUUAUCUGAUACUGCAUCACUUUUGCUCCAGGCUCUUGGGAUGUUAUGUGAUGCUGCAAGAAAUCUUGAAAAAGUCAGCUUAAUUAAUGCUUAAAGACAAGAAAGCUUCAAGGUCAAGAUCAAGUUUUGCUUGGCUUCAUAUGGAUGAAAGCUCUCACGAAUCACUUAAUAAAAUGUGUUUAGAAAUUCUUAGUAUACUUGAUGAUUCAUCAAAUACCUCCUUGAAAGUGGCAGCAGUUUCAGCGUUGGAAGUUCUUGCAGAAAGGUUCCCUUCGAAUAGUUCCAUCUUCGGUGUAUGCCUUGGAUCUAUUACAAGAUGCAUUACAUCUCAUAACAUGGCUGUGACUUCUACUUUUACUUUCAUUUCCUAAAUAAACACUUGUCAGUCUUCGACAAUCCCUGUGAAGAUGAAUCUUUAUAAAUUUUAUUACUCGAAGAUAAACUAAUGCACUUGAUAGGGGUCAUGCUCGUUCUCCGAAAAUGGUUUUACCUGUUUCUUCAUGUGAGACUUAAUGUCCUGACUUGAGCACUACUUCAACAUCAACAACACUUUAUAGGUUUACAC
rnacentral:lncRNA from 1 species